UUAUCGUUCGUGCAAAUUGAAAUCGUAAGACUUGUAAAGAAAAAAUAAUUUGUUGGGAUGCAAAACCACAAAAUAAACAUGCAAAUGCGUUUGAUUCAAUUGACGAGAAAAAUAACUAUGGAUGAAUGGAAUUGUUGGGGGUUUACAAUUUCAUCUUAUUUGUUCUCUCUUAUCUAUUCCUCUUAUUUAAUUUGCUUUGUUAUCUAAUUUUCGUGCAAACUUUCUUGGUCUACCCUUAGCCCGAUCCCUUGACGAAGAGAGCCUAUUACUAAUUACUGGCUUGUUAUCCCUAGCCUUCCCUAGUAAUUAAUAACGCGUUAAGAACAGAAGCAAAAACAAUUGAUCGUCCUACCCCCCU
rnacentral:lncRNA from 1 species